GCUGAAGGCUAAAUGUCUCUUCAAGUGAUAAGGCUUUCCCACAUUAACCGCUUGGCAAAUUAGUCAUAUGUAUUAGCAAUCCGUUCCAGGAGACAGAGUGGAAAAGGGUUGGAGCAACAGCAACAAACACAAAAUACAGAGCCCAGCCGCUGACUGUCUACAUGUAUUACCACCCAUGUAGGAAAUGGGCAAAGUUCCACACAUUAACCAUAUGUUAUCCUGUUUCUUUUGUUUUCCUUAAAACCUCUCUUUGAAAUGAAUGCGGAAUGAGCUCCCUAAGGAGGUUCGCUUGGCACCUACAUUAUAGGCUUUUAGACGCCAGGUGAAGACCUUUUUAUUCUCCCAGCAUUUUAACAGUCUAUAAAUAAAUUUUAACUUGGUGUUUUAAAUUUGUAAUUUUAUCUGGUUGAGCUUUUAUAUUGUAUUUUAUAUUAUGGUUUUAUACUGUUGUUUUAUACUUUGAAUGUUGUUUUAUACUUUGAAGAGCUCCGGCUAUUGGGCGGUUUAGAAAUGUAAUUAAUAAAUAAAUUAAAUAAAUAAAUAAAUAAAUAAAUAAA